rnacentral:rRNA from 1 species
GUGAACGCUGGCGGUAGGCCUAACACAUGCAAGUCGAACGGCAGCACCGUAAGAGCUUGCUCUUACGGGUGGCGAGUGGCGGACGGGUGAGGAAUACAUCGGAAUCUACUUUUUCGUGGGGGGUAACGUAGGGAAACUUACGCUAAUACCGCAUACGACCUACGGGUGAAAGCAGGGGAUCUUCGGACCUUGCGCGAUUGAAUGAGCCGAUGUCGGAUUAGCUAGUUGGCGGGGUAAAGGCCCACCAAGGCGACGAUCCGUAGCUGGUCUGAGAGGAUGAUCAGCCACACUGGAACUGAGACACGGUCCAGACUCCUACGGGAGGCAGCAGUGGGGAAUAUUGGACAAUGGGCGCAAGCCUGAUCCAGCCAUACCGCGUGGGUGAAGAAGGCCUUCGGGUUGUAAAGCCCUUUUGUUGGGAAAGAAAAGCAGCAGGUUAAUACCCCGCUGUUCUGACGGUACCCAAAGAAUAAGCACCGGCUAACUUCGUG